CGGGCCAACAGAAGGCCUGCGAUGAUCAUUUGUGAUGGCUCCAUCGUGUUAAUGCGGUCCAUUGCAAUAACCUUCUGCAGAGCAAGUCUUGAAGAUCUCUUGCAGAAGUAUUUCGUGCUUCUCACAGGACAGCACCCAAACACCAAAUUUGACCUCCCGAUUCUGCACAGAUGUCUCGGUCACAUUAUGAAGAACGCAAAGGAUCUGUGCAAAAAGCAAAUACCAAAACACUACACGCUGUGGAUGCAUACAUUUGGACUCCUUGCGUGUGGCUCCAGUCUAAAAGAGAUGGACGAUGUCCUGGAAAGUGCAACUGUAGUUUUUUGAAGUCCUUGCAGUGGGGAAAAUGUUGAGAAGCACUACAAAAAUCUGCAAAUGCUUUUCAAACAGAAGGGGGCCUGCGAUGUAGUAAAGGACAAAAACAUAAUUGCUGAAGACUACAAGUGUUCUGUUGGAACCAGCCCUCUCCAGACCCAUUUCAAGG